rnacentral:tRNA from 1 species
GCCGAGGUCACAUAACCAGGUAGUGUACCAGUCUCGAAAACUGGCGGGCGUAAGCCCAUGAGGGUUCAAAUCCCUCCCUCGGCG